rnacentral:rRNA from 1 species
AAUGAUUUAUCGCCGUAGGAUGGGACUGCGGCCUAUCAGUUUGUUGGUGAGGUAAUGGCCCACCAAGACUAUUACAGGUACGGGCUCUGAGAGGAGUGGCCCGGAGAUGGGUACUGAGACACGGACCCAGGCCCUAUGGGGCGCAGCAGACGAGAAAACUUUGCAAUGUGCGAAAGCACGACAAGGUUAAUCCGAGUGGUUUCUGCUAAAGGAACCUUUUGUCAGUCGUAGAAUCACUGAUGAAUAAGGGGUGGGCAAGUUCUGGUGUCAGCCGCCGCGGUAAAACCAGCACCUCAAGUGGUCAGGAUGAUUAUUGGGCCUAAAGCAUCCGUAGCCGGCUCUGUAAGUUUUCGGUUAAAUCUGUACGCUCAACGUACAGGCUGCCGGGAAUACUGCAGAGCUAGGGAGUGGGAGAGGUAGACGGUACUCGGUAGGAAGGGGUAAAAUCCUUUGAUCUAUUGAUGACCACCUGUGGCGAAGGCGGUCUACCAGAACACGUCCGACGGUGAGGGAUGAAAGCUGGGGGAGCAAACCGGAUUAGAUACCCGGGUAGUCCCAGCUGUAAACUAUGCAAACUCAGUGAUGCAUUGGCUUGUGGCCAAUGCAGUGUUGCAGGGAAGCCGUUAAGUUUGCCGCCUG